GAUGAACGCUGGCGGUAUGCUUAACACAUGCAAGUCGAACGGACUCUUCGGAGUUAGUGGCGGACGGGUGAGUAACGCGUGAGAAUCUGCCUUCAGGUUGGGGACAACAGUUAGAAAUGACUGCUAAUACCCAAUGUGCCGCAAGGUGAAAGAUUAAUUGCCUGAAGAUGAGCUCGCGUCUGAUUAGCUAGUUGGUGAGGUAAAGGCUCACCAAGGCGUCGAUCAGUAGCUGGUUUGAGAGGACAAUCAGCCACACUGGGACUGAGACACGGCCCAGACUCCUACGGGAGGCAGCAGUGGGGAAUUUUCCGCAAUGGGCGAAAGCCUGACGGAGCAAUACCGCGUGAGGGAGGAAGGCUCUUGGGUUGUAAACCUCUUUUGCUUGGGAAGAACAAUGACGGUACCAAGGGAAUAAGCAUCGGCUAACUCCG
rnacentral:rRNA from 1 species